CCGUAGGUGAACUGCGGAAGGAUCAUUACCGAGUGUAGGGUUCCUAGCGAGCCCAACCUCCCACCCGUGUUUACUGUAACCUUAGUUGCUUCGGCGGGCCCGCCUUUAAGGCCGCCGGGGGGCAUCAGCCCCCGGGCCCGCGCCCGCCGGAGACACCACGAACUCUGUCUGAUCUAGUGAAGUCUGAGUUGAUUGUAUCGCAAUCAGUUAAAACUUUCAACAAUGGAUCUCUUGGUUCCGGCAUCGAUGAAGAACGCAGCGAAAUGCGAUAACUAGUGUGAAUUGCAGAAUUCCGUGAAUCAUCGAGUCUUUGAACGCACAUUGCGCCCCCUGGUAUUCCGGGGGGCAUGCCUGUCCGAGCGUCAUUGCUGCCCAUCAAGCACGGCUUGUGUGUUGGGUCGUCGUCCCCUCUUCGGGGGGGACGGGCCCCAAAGGCAGCGGCGGCACCGCGUCCGAUCCUCGAGCGUAUGGGGCUUUGUCACCCGCUCUGUAGGCCCGGCCGGCGCUUGCCGAACGCAAAACAACCAUUCUUUCCAGGUUGACCUCGGAUCAGGUAGGGAUACCCGCUGA
rnacentral:rRNA from 1 species